rnacentral:rRNA from 1 species
UACGUAGGGUGCAAGCGUUGUCCGGAAUUAUUGGGCGUAAAGAGCGCGUAGGCGGCUUGUCACGUCGACUGUGAAAACCCGGGGCUCAACUCCGGGCCUGCAGUCGAUACGGGCUGGCUUGAGGGCGGUAGGGGAGACUGGAAUUCCUGGUGUAGCGGUGAAAUGCGCAGAUAUCAGGAGGAACACCGGUGGCGAAGGCGGGUCUCUGGGCAGUAACUGACGCUGAGGAGCGAAAGCGUGGGGAGCGAACAGG